UAUGACGCAAUAUCGAGAAGUUUCGUUUUUUGUUUAAAUCUGAGCAUGCGUGGGUAUUUGUUGAUUCUGAUUCUCAGAACGAACUAGACAACCGGUGUGUAUAUUCCACGAUCGCUAUGACAUAUUUGAGUAGUAAUCAUAAGUGAUUAAACUAGAAACAUUUAAUAUAUUUUUCUGAUUCGUCAUUGCCCUUGGUGUCCCAUUAAAAUCAAUAGUUUCGUUAUUUUGGUCUACUAUAUACAUCUGGAGUAUACAAAUACAUAAUUGCAAGGAUGUCUUACUACGGCUCUUCUGAAGCCGCUCUUGGCAACACAUUUGAUGCUUCA